AAAGAAACCAACAGGGAUUGCCCUAGUAACGGCGAGUGAAGCGGCAACAGCUCAAAUUUGAAAUCUGGCCCUUUCAGGGUCCGAGUUGUAAUUUGUAGAGGAUGCUUUUGGGCAGCCACCGGUCUAAGUUCCUUGGAACAGGACGUCAUAGAGGGUGAGAAUCCCGUAUGUGACUGGACAGGCACCCUUUGUAAAGCUCCUUCGACGAGUCGAGUUGUUUGGGAAUGCAGCUCUAAAUGGG
rnacentral:rRNA from 1 species